CCAUCUCUAAGGCUGAGUGAUUCUGUGACUUUGUGUUGGGAAGAUCAUAUUCCUGCUCUUUCUUUGCUGAAAAGGUUUUUGGUUUCCAAAAGUACUGAGGUUGGUGGAGAGGUACAAAACAACUGCAGGGAGUUCCUGUCUGCCUGAGGAGAUCAUCAUUCACCUCAAGAAUUACAGUGAGAAUAAGAGAAGAUGAAAUGAUACUGAAAAGCCGUUUAAAAAGUUGAAGAGUUAUGCGUAUAAAGCAAGAUGAUUGUUAAGUGAAUGCAUUAGAUAUAAAGGCCACUUGCUCCUGGACCCUCCUUGACUUCCAUCCCUCUAAGCCAAUCAAAAUGAAGUUGGAAGUGAUGGGGUUUGGUUGCCAUUGGCAACUGAUUGUCUACUUUGUCCAAGCUCUGGCAACCUGGGUUAGAUAAACUAUGAGAAAGUUCUCAUAGAGCAAGCAAUAUUGGCUUCUGCUGGUUUGAGUCAUGUUUACCUUGGCUUUAAGGGAGUCCCCAGAAUGCUGAAGACCAGACUGAGUUUCUUUACGUGAUGGCAGAAGUGUUGAAAGAGAACGAGAGCGGAAGCUGCAACACCUCUUGAAGUUGAGGCCUAGAAGUCACACAGCAUCUCUUCUGCUCUACUGGAUUGGUCAAAGCAAGUCAUGGGCUAGUUCAGACUGAGGGGGUAGCAAAAUAGACCCUACCUCUUGGUGGGAAAAAAGGCAGUCACAUUGUAAAGGAGUGGGCACAUAAGGAUAGAAGGACUUGAUUUGGCUAUCUUAUAAACAACCUACCACAGAAGGA
rnacentral:lncRNA from 1 species